UGCAGUCGACGAGGCUUCGGCCUUAGUGGCGCACGGGUGCGUAACGCGUGGGAAUCUGCCCUUGGGUUCGGAAUAACAGUGAGAAAUUACUGCUAAUACCGGAUGAUGACUUCGGUCCAAAGAUUUAUCGCCCAAGGAUGAGCCCGCGUAAGAUUAGCUAGUUGGUGAGGUAAAGGCUCACCAAGGCGACGAUCUUUAGCUGGUCUGAGAGGAUGAUCAGCCACACUGGGACUGAGACACGGCCCAGACUCCUACGGGAGGCAGCAGUGGGGAAUAUUGGACAAUGGGCGAAAGCCUGAUCCAGCAAUGCCGCGUGAGUGAUGAAGGCCUUAGGGUUGUAAAGCUCUUUUACCAGGGAUGAUAAUGACAGUACCUGGAGAAUAAGCUCCGGCUAACUCCGUGCCAGCAGCCGCGGUAAUACGGAGGGAGCUAGCGUUGUUCGGAAUUACUGGGCGUAAAGCGCACGUAGGCGGCCAUUCAAGUCAG
rnacentral:rRNA from 1 species